UAUUAUUAUUGAUGACUAAUUAGCCGCCCCAGUAAUACGCUACGGCAUUGGUUAUAGGCUUAUGGACCUGAAUA
rnacentral:snoRNA from 15 species